rnacentral:lncRNA from 1 species
GGGUCGCACCCAUGGCAUAUGGAAGUUCCCUGGCUAGGGAUCAAAUCAGAGUUACAGCUGCCAGCCACAGCCACAAUAACACGGAAUCCAAGCCAUAUCUGCAACCUAUACCACAGCUUACGGCAAUGCCGGAUUCUUGACCCACUGAGCAAGGCCAGGAUCGAAUCCACAUCCUCAUGGAUACUAGUCGGGUUUAUAUAUGAGAUGCUAAAGAUAGUAUCAGGUGGGGUCCUGCCUAGGAUGCCUGCUGAAAGAUCCGUAUGCGGAAAAUGUGGUCCAGGGAACUUGUGGGUUUGUUCAGUGUGCUCAAGCUUCUUAGUAGCAGAGAUGCAACCAGAGUUGGGAUAUCUUGACUUCUUAUUCAGAAAAGUAUUAUUUUGUUCAUUCACGUCUGCAUUCAGCAAAUAUGUAUGGGGGAGCUGGUUUUGUGCCAGCCACAUAACAAGUAAAUUCAUGGCCUGUGCUGGCCCUUAGAGCUCAUGUCUUGCUGGUAUAAAAAGUCCAUUCCUAAUGGUGUGUGGGGGGGACUCAAAUUCCAAGGGUAGUUCACAGGAGAGACUCCUAACUAGGAAGGGCUCCCAAGAUGAGAUGAAUGUAACUACAAGGAGAAGGUACCCAGGCUAAGGAAGAAGGCUGACUUGUAGGCAAUGGGCUGGGAGGGUAGGUUUGGAUCUAGUGAGCCAGGAGGCAGCUGAACUCUAAGCUUGCUUGCCAAUAAGCUUAUGUUUUUCCUUUAGAAGUUAAAUAAAUAUCCAUUUUCUUUUUCUUGGUAAUAACACAGACCUUUAAAAGAAGCAACUUUAUAACAUAGAGGUUUCCCGUUGCACUUAUUAGAAGGAGGGACAGAAGACAAGAGUUUAGUUAAUGAAAAAAUAAAGUUGGAAGUGAGAUUGUGGCUUCAAAUAUGUUAGGCAAAACCAGUGUAAAAUAACCCUCAAGGGUGGGUCUAGUUUUUGUGGGGCCUGAAAUUCAUAUAACAUGAGGGACAUAUUUUAAGAAAAAUAAUGCACCAGCCAGAAUAGUAAUCAUCAAAAAGUCUACAAAGAAUGUAUGCUGGAGAGGAUGCAGAGAAAAGGGAACUCUCCUACACUGGUGGUGGAAUGUAUAUGUUGGUGCAGCCACUAAGGAGAACAGUACAGAAGUUCCUUAAAAAACGAAAUAUAGAACUACUAUAUGAUCCAGCAGUCCCACUCCUGGACAUAUAUCUGGAGAAAAUCAUAAUUCAAAAAGAUGUAUGCACCCUAAUGUUCACUGCAGCACUAUUUAAAAUAGCCAAGACACAGAAGCAACUGCAAAGUCCAUUGACAGAAGAAUGGAUUAAGAUGCAGUACAUAUACACAAUGGAAUAUUAUUCAGUCAUAAAAAGGAAUGAAAUAAUGCCACUUGUAGCAAUAUAGAUGGACCCCAGAGAUUAUCAUACUAAGUGAAAUAAGUCACACAAAGACAAAUAUCAUAUGAUAUCACAUAUGUGGAAUCUAAUAAAAAAUGACACAAAAGAACUUGUUUAUAAAACGAAACUCACAGAUUUCAAAAUCAAACUUGUGGUUAUCACGGGGAAACCAUUGCGGGGAGGGAUAAAUUAGGAAAAUGGGAAUAACAUAUACACAAUACAGUUUAAUAGAUAAUUUACAAGGUCCUUCUGUUUAGCACAGGGAAGUCUACUCAAUAGUUUGCAAUAAUUUAUAUGGGAAAAAAUAAUGGAUAUAUGUAUAUAUAGAUUCACUUUGCUGUAUACAAGAACCAUACAACAUUGUAAGCCAAUCAUACUGUAAUAACUUUUUUAAAUGCAAAAAUUUCACCUUUGUAAUUUUUUUAAAGGCACGUGACUAUAUGAACACACUGAAAUUUGGAACGGGUCUUGUGAAAACAGAGUCCUGAAGUUUAAGCCCCAUUAGCAUUCUAAUAAACCUUCUCAAGAUACUA